rnacentral:rRNA from 1 species
GACGAACGCUGGCGGCGUGCUUAACACAUGCAAGUCGAACGAAGAGCGAUGGAAGCUUGCUUCUAUCAAUCUUAGUGGCGAACGGGUGAGUAACGCGUAAUCAACCUGCCCUUCAGAGGGGGACAACAGUUGGAAACGACUGCUAAUACCGCAUACGAUCUGACCUCGGCAUCGAGGAUGGAUGAAAGGUGGCCUCUAUUUAUAAGCUAUCACUGAAGGAGGGGAUUGCGUCUGAUUAGCUAGUUGGAGGGGUAACGGCCCACCAAGGCGAUGAUCAGUAGCCGGUCUGAGAGGAUGAACGGCCACAUUGGGACUGAGACACGGCCCAGACUCCUACGGGAGGCAGCAGUGGGGAAUCUUCCGCAAUGGACGAAAGUCUGACGGAGCAACGCCGCGUGAGUGAUGACGGCCUUCGGGUUGUAAAGCUCUGUUAAUCGGGACGAAAGGCCUUCUUGCAAAUAGUUAGAAGGAUUGACGGUACCG